rnacentral:misc_RNA from 1 species
GAUGAAGAACGUAGCGAAAUGCGAUAAGUAAUGUGAAUUGCAGAAUUCAGUGAAUCAUCGAAUCUUUGAACGCACCUUGCGCCUUUUGGUAUUCCGAAAGGCACACCUGUUUGAGCGUUAUGAAUACCUCAAUCUCCAUCUUUUCUUCGGAUUGAUGGGUGACUUGGAUGUUGAGCCCUGCUGGUAUGCUAUAUCAGCUGGCUUUAAACUUAUUAGCCGGCUCUGUACUGGAUCGGUUUGACUCGACGUGAUAAUAUUAUCGUUGAGGAUGCAUGUCUCAUGCAGCCGGAAAGUAUCAAAGCAGCUUCUAGCUUGCCUUUAGUGCACUUUUACAUUUUAGACCUCAGAUCAGGUGGGACUACCCGCUGAACUUAAGCAUAUCAAUAAGCGGAGGA